AUUUUGCAUAGGAGAUUGCAUCCAGAGAUGGCCUUGAAAAUAAUCUGUAAGAGGAGAAGUUCCGAGUGUUGAAAUGCACUAGGCUGAAAAGAGAAAAUGUGAUCCUUGGAAGCCUAAAAGCCUGGUCUGAUUUAAUUUGGACUUGACUUCCCAGAGAUAGAAUUUUGAGAUCAUUUGGAUUAUAAAUCGUAAUUGCCCAUUGAAUAGUUCCCCAGGAGGAGGUUGGAUGAUAAAGCAGCAUGGAAUACUCUGAUGAAUACUGUCUUCACCCUGGGACCCCUAUGUCCCUGGAAGUGCUUGAACUUGUCCUGGUCCAUUGGAGAAGCAGAAUUGUGUAUUUCUGGCCUCGUCUGAUGCGUUGUGACAAUCUGUUACCAACUAGGGGCUCACCAGUCCUUUCUCUAGCAUUCCCUUGUUCCUUCUAUUAGAGAUUCCUCCAGCCAGCAACUUUGCCCUUUUAUAUGUUUCAUUAACAUGAUAUUUUAUUCAUCCAUAAAAAGGAUUGUAAGGCAAAGUUUCUCCCGGUUUACUUGAGACUGUUGACACCAGGAGAGACAGCGUUGAAAGUAAGGCUUGGGCUGUGGCCUUCCGGUUGGCGAGUGCGCAUGCAUCUCCCCCCUCAACACCGUGCCCGCCCCCCGCCCCCACCCCCGCCUCGGAUAACACACACCCUGGCUAUGCCAACGUUGUUGACCGAGACAACCUGUUUUUUAAUUUACAUUGCAAAUCAGAAAAGAUUAGAAAUCAUCAACGAAGAUGAUCUUGAAGCUUAUGUGGGACUGAAAAACCUGACCAUUGUGGAUUCUGGAUUAAAAUCUGUGGCUCAUAAAGCAUUCCUGAAAAACAGCAACUUACAGCACAUCAAUUUUACCCGAAAUAAACUGACGAUUUUGUCUAGGAAACAUUUUCGUCACCUUGACUUGUCUGAGCUGAUCCUGGUGGGCAACCCAUUUAUGUGCUCCUGUGACAUUAUGUGGAUCAAGACUCUUCAGGAGACUAAACCUAGUCCAGAAACUCAGGAUUUGUACUGUCUGGAUGAAAACAGCAAGAAUAUUUCACUGGCAAACCUGCAGAUACCCCAUUGUGGUUUGCCAUCAGCAAAUCUGGCUGCACCUAACCUCACCGUGGAGGAGGGAAAGUCUAUCACAUUGUCUUGUACUGUUGCAGGUGACCCAGUUCCAAAUUUGUACUGGGAUGUCGGUAAUCUGGUUUCCAAGCAUAUGAAUGAAACAAGCCACACACAGGGCUCCUUAAGGAUAACUAACAUUUCAUCUGAUGACAGUGGAAAGCAAAUCUCUUGUGUGGCAGAAAAUCUUGUAGGAGAAGAUCAAGAUUCUGUCAACCUCACUGUACAUUUUGCUCCAACUAUCACAUUUCUCGAAUCUCCAACCUCAGACCACCACUGGUGCAUUCCAUUCACUGUGAAAGGCAAUCCCAAGCCAGCGCUUCAGUGGUUCUAUAACGGGGCAAUUUUGAAUGAGUCCAAAUACAUCUGUACUAAAAUCCAUGUUACCAAUCAUACGGAGUACCACGGCUGCCUCCAGCUGGACAACCCCACUCACAUGAACAAUGGGGACUACAAGUUAGUAGCCAAGAAUGAAUAUGGGAAGGAUGAGAAACAGAUUUCUGCUCACUUCAUGGGCUGGCCUGGAAUCGAUGAUGGUGCAAAUCCAAAUUAUCCUGAUGUAAUUUAUGAAGAUUACGGAACCGCAGCAAAUGACAUUGGGGACACCACGAACAAAAGUAAUGGAACCCUUCCCACAGGUGUUGUUGAUACAGGUCGGGAACACCUCUCGGUCUAUGCUGUGGUGGUAAUUGCAUCUGUAGUGGGAUUUUGUCUACUGGUAAUGCUAUUUCUGCUGAAGUUGGCAAGACAUUCCAAGUUUGGCAUGAAAGGCCCAGCCUCGGUUAUCAGUAAUGAUGAUGACUCUGCCAGCCCACUGCAUCACAUCUCUAAUGGGAGUAACACCCCGUCGUCUUCAGAGGGUGGCCCUGAUGCUGUCAUUAUUGGAAUGACCAAGAUUCCUGUCAUUGAAAAUCCCCAGUACUUUGGCAUUACCAACAGUCAGCUCAAGCCAGACACAUUUGUUCAGCACAUCAAGCGACACAACAUUGUCUUGAAAAGGGAGCUAGGUGAAGGAGCCUUUGGAAAAGUUUUCCUCGCUGAAUGCUAUAACCUCUGUCCUGAGCAGGACAAGAUCUUGGUGGCUGUGAAGACGCUGAAGGAUGCCAGCGACAAUGCACGCAAGGACUUCCACCGCGAGGCCGAGCUGCUGACCAACCUCCAGCACGAGCACAUUGUCAAGUUCUAUGGCGUCUGCGUGGAGGGCGACCCACUCAUAAUGGUCUUCGAGUACAUGAAGCAUGGGGACCUCAACAAAUUCCUCAGGGCACACGGACCGGAUGCAGUGCUGAUGGCCGAGGGCAACCCACCGGCAGAGCUGACGCAAUCGCAGAUGCUGCACAUCGCCCAGCAGAUCGCUGCAGGCAUGGUCUACCUGGCGUCGCAGCACUUCGUGCACCGAGACCUGGCCACCCGGAACUGCCUGGUGGGCGAGAACCUCCUGGUGAAAAUCGGGGACUUCGGCAUGUCCCGGGACGUGUAUAGCACUGACUACUACAGGGUCGGUGGCCACACAAUGCUGCCCAUUCGCUGGAUGCCCCCAGAGAGCAUCAUGUAUAGGAAGUUCACCACCGAAAGUGACGUCUGGAGCCUGGGGGUCGUGUUGUGGGAGAUCUUCACGUACGGGAAACAGCCCUGGUACCAGCUGUCGAACAACGAGGUGAUAGAAUGCAUCACUCAGGGCCGAGUCCUGCAGCGACCUCGAACAUGCCCCCAGGAAGUCUACGAGCUGAUGCUGGGGUGCUGGCAGCGAGAGCCCCAUAUGAGGAAGAACAUCAAGGGCAUCCACACCCUCCUUCAGAACUUGGCCAAGGCAUCUCCAGUCUACCUGGAUAUUCUAGGGUAGGGCCCAUUCCCCCAGACCAGUCCUUCUGAAAGCACUUCCUCAGUUGGGCCGAGAGGAUGAACGUCUUUUAACUGCCGCUCGAUGCCAUCAAUCCGCUGUUCUUUGCUCUGACAGUAUUAACAACAAAGACACUGAGAAGCUUUCCGAGGGAAGCGACGUGUACUUCUCCACCUGUAGACACAGUAUGGACUUCUUUUUAGCAUUCUCUUUCUCUCUUUCCAUCUCCCUUCAUUUAUUCUCUAGUUUCCACCCCCCCCCCCCGGUUUAUUUUUUGUCUUCCUUGCUUUACAACCCCUACCUUUUCUUUUUUAAUCAAUCUGGCUUCUGCAUUACUAUUAACUCUGCAUAGACAAAGGCCUUAACAAACCUAAUUUGUUAUAUCAGCAGACACUCCAGUUUGCCCACCACAACUAACAAUGCCUUGUUGUAUUCCUGCCUUUGAUGUGGAUGAAAAAAAGGGAAAACAAAUAUUUGACUUAAACUUUGUCACUUUUGCUGUACAGACACCGAGAGUUUCUAUGGAUUCACUUCUAUUUAUUUAUUAUUAUUACUGUUCUUAUUGUUUUGGGAUGGCUUAAGCCUGUGUAUGAAAAAGGAAAACUUGUGUUCAAUUUGGGAAGCCUUUAUCUAUGGGAGAUUAAGACCAGAGAGAAAGAAGAUUUAUUAUAAACCACAGUAUGGGAAGAACAAAGACAACCAUUGGAAUCUACUGGCGUCAGUUUCAACUUAAGAAAACCCAGCCACUGGUAGCUGGGAGGAAUGUAUCGGGCAUUUUCCCCCAAGGACCUUUCUGAGGAGUAUGAGGACUGUUGAACUCUGUGCCAUGGGCUAUUCUUUUCCCAUCACCGGAAAUGCUAGAGUGUAGUACAGAGAAAAUACGGCUUCUGGGAGGCAAGAUGGCACACAACACAUUCCGACAGUCUCAUCCUUGUAGGCCAUGGUGAUGGCACUGGUUUGUUUUGCCGAGUGUUAUCCACUGAGCCUUUGUCAAGUUCAGGUG
rnacentral:lncRNA from 1 species